CUGAGCUCUGUGACGCAUGCAAUAACCGUGGCAACAGGAAGCCAAACCUGUUGGAACCACUUCAGGCCAUUGUGAACUUAGAAGCCAGGGAGCUCUACAGGCAUGGAGACAUCAGUCCAUCCAGGGCCCAGAAAACUGAGGAGGUGGCUACAUCUAUACUUUGAUUAGACUUAGAGAGAUAUGAGGAAGUGACCCUCAUUUCCAGAUCCUUCCUUCCCUCAAGACAGUCAUUUUACCUGAGUUCCCAUUAUUAGAGCAAGGCUUCCCUGCUCAAAUGCUGGUCCACCCAGAAAGAUAACGGCUGCCAUUUGCAAUGAGCUUCAAAACAUGAACUAACUUCUGCCAGGAGAUGGUACAGGGAUGGGAAGUAUCACAGGAUAGCUGCCAGCCCUAAGGUGAGUGUGGUGGACAGAGAACAGGUGCUGAAACCAGAGAGACCCUGACUUGACCGCUUUCUGCUUGUGUCACCUCAAGGAAGAGGACUUCUGCUAGGGGAGCCAAGGGUUCGGCCGAUGUACAGUGCUGCUAAGAACCUGCCCAAUCUGACACUCUGGGGACCCAGGCUAGCUACAACCUCUUACCUUCUGUUCCACCUCUUUCCUGGAUGUCAGCUCUGAGUCCAACCUCUCCUCGAACUGCUGUAGACGCUUCCUGAGGAACUCAUUCUCCAUCUGAGCACAGUCAAAGCGCAUUUGCCAUUCGUCUGCUAUUUAACAAAGAAAUCCAUAACCCUUGAGGUCAAGAGAGCUGUUUUUAUCAUUUGUAGAUCCUCAACACACUCUAGAAGCAUCCCCUACACACAGAAGUUUCCUCCAUAUGUGUUGAUACAAGCUCACCAACUGGAAUCAUCUUACUGGCCAACCACAAUGGGUGACAGAAAAAAAAAAAAAAAGAAACCUUAAAUGCACCUGCAAAAGGAAGAGAAAACAAAAAGCAUUUGUGCAGCUGUACGUGUGCUCUGUUCUAUGAUGUGCCACAGAGCAAGAGGUAUGAGUGGUCAACAUGAGCAGAUGAGGAAACCAUUCUCCAUUCUUCGAGGCUGAUUUCCACCACCAGUGCCCAUUCCGGGGGCAGGGGGCAUUCUUAAUCAGUACAUAUAAUUCAGCCCUUCGUUAGCCAUUUUUUCCUGUAUUUAUCUGACCUCCCCAUGUCUACUUCAAAUUUCUCGAGAGCAGGGCCCAACUAAAAUUCUUCCAAAACCCCCUCCUCCUGGUGGCCUGCUCAGUGCUGGCUGCACACCAUGAAAGGUCCUCUCCAAAUACUUAACCAUGCAUGGUGGAAAAACAGCUAUGUUCUUAAUAAUUGAUACUCCAGCUUGAUCCAUUGAGGAGGUUAGGGUGGCAUUGCUCUGGUGUGAUUAAAGUGUUUUAUGGCU